UACGUAGGGUGCAAGCGUUAAUCGGAAUUACUGGGCGUAAAGCGUGCGCAGGCGGUUGUGCAAGACAGAUGUGAAAUCCCCGGGCUUAACCUGGGAAUUGCAUUUGUGACUGCACGGCUAGAGUGUGUCAGAGGGGGGUAGAAUUCCACGUGUGAGCAGUGAAAUGCGUAGAUAUGAUGGAGGAAUACCGAUGGCGAAGGCAGCCCCCUGGGAUAACACUGACGCCUCAUGCACGAAAGCGUGGGGAGCAAACAGG
rnacentral:rRNA from 1 species